AAGGUAAAGGGAAAAUUCACAAUACACGGUGAACUGUCGUUCUCCUUUAUGUUUUUUUAUUAUAUAAUAUAUAGUGGUUCCACAGAAGUAUAUGUUUAUUUUUUAUUUUUUACUUUCAGUUAGUACAUCCAAACAAUCUGUUCUCCAUUGAAGAAUAAGUUUAUCCAUGAAAAGCUCUUCCAUACAAUAACAUCCAAACACCAGAAAAUAUCCCCGUUUGCCGACUCGCGUGUCUAAUCACGAAACAACACAAAUAAGUUAAGAAAACACCACCCCUAUCCCACCGUUGACUGCCAGCAAAGCAAAUAAAACUGCACACGCAAUCACGUGCACGCUUAACCCAUUUUUAAACCCCUCAUUUCCUAGCCCUAUUCCUCCGGCAGGAAUAGUAAUUGGCGGAGCAGCCCAAGAGGAAUAGUUAGCGGCAGUGGUGUUGGUGGUGGAAUUGAAGAACCAGCCGGCAUUGUCGCCGACGGUGUGGUUGAUGUAUCUAAUGGGAGGAGCCUGGGACGUGGCGGCGGUGAUCAGGACGGCAAUGAUGGCGAGAUGCAGAAUGGUGGCUAGUCUCAUGGCUGUUCACUGCGGUUUGGUUUGUGUAGGGUUGCAAAGUAUUAAUAAAGGACGCGGUGUGCACUGCGUCAACAAAGUUUAAGGGCUGAGUGAGGAGUUUGGUAGAAUGGAAGGAGAGUUGUGAGAUUCCUUGACGCGGUGUGCAUGUGGGUGUGGAAGACACAAAGAGGUAAUUGUGAAAUAUUUCUGUAUAUUUAAUUUCAAAAUUGUGCCUGAUGUCAAGGCUCUGAAAAAGAGGAAGUGUCAGAGCAAGAAGACUUUUCAAAUGCUUAGUUUAUUGAUUAUCCAACCUAACAGUUAAAGAAGAGGGUUGAAACAUGAUAGUGUGAUUUUUAAGAAUGAAAAAGGCAAAAUUUGAGUUUUUGACCGUUGUAAGGCUCUGUUUGUUUACAGGAAAGUGAAUUUUUUUUAAAAAGUGAAUUUUGGGGAAAGUGAAUUUCUGGAAAAUAAAUUUCGGGAAAGUAUUUUCUGAUGUUUGGUAGUGUUAUGAAAAAUGAACUGGAAAACACUUUCCAGUGUUUGUUUGUGUUAUUGAAAAUAAACUGGAAAAUAAUUUAUUAAUGAAUUAAUUUUUUUUUAAAAUUUAUCUAAUAUAUAUAAAAUAUUUAAUUACUUACAAUAAAAAAAAUCUAAUAUAUAUAUAAUAUUUAAUAUAAAAUAUUAAAUCAUUUACAAUAAAAAAAUGAAAAACGAACACUGAGCAAUCAUUUACAAUAAAAUAUUAAAUCAUUUACCAAACAUUUCCCUAUAAUCCAUUCCCCAUUUCCCCUCUUGUGCAGAUUAAGAUGCGAAAAACUAAUGUUAUAAUUAAUAAAAGUAAUUGUGCACUGAGCAAGAAAAACGAAUGCAAUAAUUCAUUCCCCAUUUCCCUAACCGGUUUUAUAAUUCCCCAUUAACAUAACCCAAAUGCACUGUUGCCAUUCCCCUCCCCUCUCGGUGCAUUGUAAUUCCCCUCUCCUCUCAUUCCCCUCCUCUCAAUAAUUCAUUCCCCAUUUCCCAUUUCCCUAACCGGUUUUAUAAUUCCCCUCCCCUCUCGGUGCAGUUGUGAUUUCCCUCUCCUCUCAUUCCCAUCCUCUCGGUUCAGUUGUGAUUCCCCUCUCCUCUCAUCCUCUCAUUCCCCCUCUCUCAGUCUCCCCGUUCCCCUCUCCCUUUCGGUCUUAUAAUUGGUUCCCCCAAUUCCCCUGUUAUCUUUUCCUAUUGCCCCAGGCAUCAAUACUGCGCCGCUUCCUUUUAUUCUGCAUCGGCGCCCAAGCACUGGACCAAGGGCUUUCGAAAUGAACUACUUGGCUUGGUUUCCUUCCCCCGCUUAAUCGAAAUCUCCUUCACUCACAACAGAAGGCCAAAGCAAUCCCAACAAAGAAAGAUGCAGAGUGUUGUCAUACCCCUUCCCUUGAGGACCUUGGGUGUACGGUGGUCGGAUCCGGGGACAGGGAGAGGCUGCUUCACAGUAAAGUUCACAGAAAUCUCCCCCCCGAUUUGGCCUCUCGCUGUUCACAGAAAUGGCGUCCCCUUUCUGUUCAAAAAAAUGAUUCCUCCUUGUUUUGCCUCUGUCACAGUAAUCCCCCCCCACCGGUCUCUGUUUGGAUUCCCCUCCUUGUUAAGGUUAGAUGAUGUUGCCGAUUGUGAUUGAUGAAGAAAAAAUGUGUUUUUUGUGGGUUGAUUGAUUAAUUUUUGGUUAGUUUUAGCUGUAGCAUUUGACGAAAUUUGAUGAAGAGGGAAAUUGUUCUGUGUUGAAAAUUAUAUGGGAAAAAUAUCCCAGGCAGCAGAUUUAUCCAAAAGAAUAUUAAGAAAUUAUGCCAUAAUAUUUACAGAUCUACUACGAAGAAGAAGAAGAUAAAAACAUAAAAGAAAAAACAGAGGAAAAAAAAUUACGUGAUAAUUGGUCCAGGAAAAUAAGUUGUUCCAGAAAAAUGCUUUUGUUCCUCAGCUUCCAAUUGAUUUUGAUGAAAUAAAAGAGAAAGAGAGACGGUAGUAUUUGGGCAAAUGAACAGAGAAAAAAAAAGGAAAGUGUUUUCCUUUCUUUAACGAAAGGAAAACACUUUCCUUUCACAGUGUUGCUUUUUUAACUUUGACUGGAAUUCAAAUUCCGUUGACUCUUUUUCUAAAUGUUACCAAACAUGGGAAAAGCAGGAAAGUGAAUUCCAGAAAUUUACUUUCCUGCAAACAAACGCUCUAAGAGUUUCAUGAAACUUCAGGUGAGAUGUUUU
rnacentral:lncRNA from 1 species